UACGUAGGGUGCGAGCGUUGUCCGGAAUUACUGGGCGUAAAGAGCUCGUAGGUGGUUUGUCGCGUUGUUCGUGAAAACUCACAGCUCAACUGUGGGCGUGCGGGCGAUACGGGCAGACUAGAGGUAUGCAGGGGAGAACGGAAUUCCUGGUGUAGCGGUGAAAUGCGCAGAUAUCAGGAGGAACACCGGUGGCGAAGGCGGUUCUCUGGGCAUGAUCUGACGCUGAGGAGCGAAAGUGUGGGGAGCGAACAGG
rnacentral:rRNA from 1 species